UCCAGACUCCUACGGGAGGCAGCAGUGAGGAAUAUUGGUCAAUGGCCGGAAGGCUGAACCAGCCAAGCCGCGUGAAGGACGAAGGUGCCAAGCAUUGUAAACUUCUUUUGUCAAGGGACAAAAUCAGGCUCGAGAGCCUGACCGAGGGUACUUGAAGAAAAAGCAUCGGCUAACUCCGUGCCAGCAGCCGCGGUAAUACGGAGGAUGCGAGCGUUAUCCGGAUUUAUUGGGUUUAAAGGGUGCGUAGGCGGGAUGCCAAGUCGGCGGUCAAAUGCGGGGGCUCAACCUGCGUCCGCCGUUGAAACUGGCGUUCUUGAGUGGGCGAGAAGUACGCGGAAUGCGUGGUGUAGCGGUGAAAUGCUUAGAGAUCAUACAGAACACCGAUUGCGAAGGCAGCUUACCAAUCUAUAUCUGACGUUGAGGCACGAAAGCGUGGGGAGCAAACAGGAUUAGAUACCCGAGUA
rnacentral:rRNA from 1 species